rfam:Bacterium TMED190 isolate TMED190 106683, whole genome shotgun sequence.
GUAAAAGCUACUAAGGGCGUACGGUGGAUGCCUAGGCACAUGGAGGCGAUGAAGGACGUGAUAAGCUGCGAUAAGCCUCGGGUAGGUGCAAACAACCUUUAAUCCGUGGAUUUCCGAAUGGGGCAACCCUUCUUGGUUAAUACCAAGAAACUCUCAAUUGAAUAAAUAGAUUGAGUAGAGUUAACGGAGUGAAUUGACACAUCUUAGUAACUCCAGGAAAAGAAAACAAUAGUGAUUUCCUAAGUAGCGGCGAGCGAAAAGGAAACAGCCUAAACUUUAAUCAUGUUAAAACCCGUAAGUGUUGUGAUUAAAGUGUUGCGAGACAUUUCUUGAAUUUGUUACGGAAAAUUCGGAGAGUCAAAAAACUUGAUAUUAGUUGAACGAUAUGGAAAGAUCGACCACAGAAGGUGAUAGUCCUGUAAAUAAAAAUUGAUAGUCUCUCUUGGAUUUGUUCUCAAGUAGCGCGGUACACGUGAAAUUCCGUGCGAAACUGCCAAGACCAUUUGGCAAGGCUAAAUACUCCCAUGUGACCGAUAGUGAACUAGUACCGUGAGGGAAAGGUGAAAAGUACUCCGAGAGGAGAGUGAAAUAGAACCUGAAACCGUAUGCCUACAAGCGGUCGGAGUUCUGAUUUAUCAGGAUGACGGCGUGCCUUUUGCAUAAUGAGCCAGCGAGUUGCUCGUAUAUUGCAAGGUUAAUUCCUAUAAGGAAGGAGCCGCAGCGAAAGCGAGUCUUAAUAGGGCGAUUCAGUAAUAUACGGCAGACCCGAAGCCGAGUGAUCUAUCCAUGGUCAGGUUGAAGCGGCAGUAACAUGUCGUGGAGGACCGAACCCACUAGGGUUGAAAACCUAGGGGAUGAACUGUGGAUAGGGGUGAAAGGCCAAUCAAACUCGGCGAUAUCUGGUUCUCCCCGAAAUGCCUUUAGGGGCAGCGUCGUGGAAGUGCCUCGGGGGUAGAGCACUGGAUGGACUAGGGGCCCUACAAGGUUACCAAACCCAACCAAACUCCGAAUACCGAGGUUAUGAUCUACGGCAGUGAGGCCGCGGGGGAUAAGCUUCGUGGCCAAAAGGGAAACAACCCAGACCAACAGCUAAGGUCCCAAAAUCUUAGUUAAGUGAUAAAGGAUGUGAGAUUGCACAGACAGCUAGGAGGUUGGCUUAGAAGCAGCCAUCCUUUAAAGAAAGCGUAAUAGCUCACUAGUUAAGGAAUCUUGCGCCGAUAAUUUCCGGGACUAUAAAACUAAGUACCGAAGCUAUGGCUUCUUGAUUUAUCAAGAGGGGUAGGGGAGCGUUCCAUUAACCUGUGAAGUCACAGACGGGAGUCGUGAUGGAGGACAUGGAAGUGAGAAUGCUGGCAUGAGUAGCGAUAAUCCCAGUGAAAUUCUGGGACACCGAAAGCCUAAGGUUUCCUGAGUAAAGUAACUCUGCUCAGGGUUAGUCGGUACCUAAGCCGAGGCCGAAAGGCGUAGGCGAUGGAGAACAGGUCAAUAUUCCUGUACCACCUUUUUAUUGUUUGAACGAUGGGGGGACGCAGAAGUGAAAGAUCAGCCCGGUUUUGAUUGUCCGGGUUUAAGUAGGUAGGAAGUUCUAGCAGGCAAAUCCACUAGAACAAUUCCGAGAUACGAAUAGGAGGGCCUAGCCCAUAAACUGAUCCUAAUCAUACUGCCAAGAAAAUCCUCUAAGUGAGAUAUUUAGGUGACCGUACCGUAAACGGACACACGUAGGCGAGAUGAGUAUUCUAAGGUGCUUGGAUUAAUUCUGGUAAAGGAACUCGGCAAAUUGGCCCCGUAACUUCGGGAGAAGGGGCGCCUUGAUUAGGUGACAACUUUUCAGUUUGAGCUGAAAAAGGCCGCAGAAAAAUGAGUCGUCCGACUGUUUACCAAAAACACAGGUCUCUGCUAAGUCGUAAGACGAAAUAUAGGGACUGACACCUGCCCGGUGCCGGAAGGUUAAGUAGAGGUGUUAUUAUAGAUUUAUCUAUAUGAAGCUCUGAAAUGAAGCCCCGGUGAACGGCGGCCGUAACUAUAACGGUCCUAAGGUAGCGAAAUUCCUUGUCGGGUAAGUUCCGACCCGCACGAAUGGUGUAACGAGAUGACUACUGUCUCUACCAGAAAUCCAGCGAAAUUGUAGCGUCGGUGAAGAUGCCGGCUAACCGCGGCAGGACGGAAAGACCCCGUGAACCUUUACUAUAACCUGAUAUUGGCUUUUGGUUCUAUAUGUGUAGGAUAGGUGGGAGACUUUGAAGCAUAAGCGCUAGCUUGUGUGGAGUCAUCCUUGAAAUACCACCCUUAUAUUUCUGAAAUUCUAAUUCUGACCCUUGAAUCAGGGCAGAAAACAUUGUCAGGCGGGUAGUUUGACUGGGGCGGUCUCCUCCUAAAAAGUAACGGAGGAGCACAAAGGUUCCCUCAGCACGGAUGGUAAUCGUGCAUAGAGUGCAAAGGCAUAAGGGAGCUUAACUGCAAGGUAGACAUACCGAGCAGAUGCGAAAGCAGGUCUUAGUGAUCCGGUGGUCCCGAAUGGAAGGGCCAUCGCUCAACGGAUAAAAGGUACUCCGGGGAUAACAGGCUUAUCGCCUCCGAGAGCUCAUAUCGACGAGGCGGUUUGGCACCUCGAUGUCGGCUCAUCACAUCCUGGGGCUGGAGAAGGUCCCAAGGGUUGGGCUGUUCGCCCAUUAAAGUGGUACGUGAGCUGGGUUCAGAACGUCGUAAGACAGUUCGGUCCCUAUCCGCCGUGGUCGCAGGAAACUUGAGGGAUGCUGUUCCUAGUACGAGAGGACCGGGAUGGACGAACCUCUGGUGCACCAGUUGUUUCAUCAGAAGCAUCGCUGGGUAGCUAAGUUCGGAUGGGAUAAGCGCUGAAAGCAUAUAAGCGCGAAACCCUUCCCAAGAUAAGGUUUCCCUUCCCUUUGGGAGUGAAGAUCCCCUGUAGACUACAGGGUUGAUAGGUCAUAGGUGUAAGACCAGUAAUGGUUUCAGCCNAGUGAUACUAAUGAAUCGUCAGGCUUUUCCAA